rnacentral:rRNA from 1 species
AACGAACGCUGGCGGCAGGCCUAACACAUGCAAGUCGAGCGCCCCGCAAGGGGAGCGGCGGACGGGUGAGUAACGCGUGGGAACGUGCCCUCUUCUACGGAAUAGCCUCGGGAAACUGGGAGUAAUACCGUAUACGCCCUUAGGGGGAAAGAUUUAUCGCCCAAGGAUGAGCCCGCGUAAGAUUAGCUAGUUGGUGGGGUAAAGGCCUACCAAGGCGACGAUCUUUAGCUGGUCUGAGAGGAUGAUCAGCCACACUGGGACUGAGACACGGCCCAGACUCCUACGGGAGGCAGCAGUGGGGAAUAUUGGACAAUGGGCGAAAGCCUGAUCCAGCAAUGCCGCGUGAGUGAUGAAGGCCUUAGGGUUGUAAAGCUCUUUUACCAGGGAUGAUAAUGACAGUACCUGGAGAAUAAGCUCCGGCUAACUCCGUG